AUGGGAUUUUUCUUUUAUCAUUUUAAAGGACUUCAUAAAAUCCUCAAUAUUAUUGUUGUUACUGCGGAGGAAGAUCGUAUGCCUAAUACGCCACUAUUGGCAUAUUUGAUAAAGGAUCUUUUCACACUCGGCAAAAACCGUCACGGAAAAGUCCAUCAUAAUUUAGAACAAAAGUUUCAGUUGAUACGUGUGAUACGGUGA